AAACUCCGUCAUCCCGGCGAAGGCCGGGAUCUCGCCGGCGCGUCAUGUUCCCAUGGUGAGAUCCCGGCCUUCGCCGGGAUGACGUAAACG
rnacentral:sRNA from 1 species